rnacentral:rRNA from 1 species
UACGUAGGGUGCAAGCGUUGUCCGGAAUUAUUGGGCGUAAAGGGCUCGUAGGCGGUCCAUCGCGUCGGGAGUGAAAAGCUGGGGCUUAACCCCAGUCCUGCUUCCGAUACGGGUGGACUAGAGGUAGGUAGGGGAGAUCGGAAUUCCUGGUGUAGCGGUGAAAUGCGCAGAUAUCAGGAGGAACACCGGUGGCGAAGGCGGAUCUCUGGGCCUUACCUGACGCUGAGGAACGAAAGCUAGGGGAGCGAACGGG